rnacentral:rRNA from 1 species
AGAACGAACGCUGGCGGCAGGCCUCAAACAUGCAAGUCUAGGGGGUGUAGCAAUACAUCACCGGCGGACGGGUGCGUAACGCGUGGGAAUAUACCUAUUGGUUCGGAACAACUGAGGGAAACUUCAGCUAAUACCGAAUGUGCCCGUAAGGGGAAAGAUUUAUCGCCAAUAGAUUAGCCCGCGUAGGAUUAGCUAGUUGGUGGGGUAAUGGCCCACCAAGGCUCCGAUCCUUAGCUGUUCUGAGAGGAAGAUCAGCCACACUGGGACUGAGACACGGCCCAGACUCCUACGGGAGGCAGCAGUUGGGAAUCUUGGACAAUGGGGGAAACCCUGAUCCAGCCAUGCCGCGUGAGUGAUGAAGGCCUUCGGGUGUAAAACUCUUUCGACGGGGACGAUAAUGACGGUACCCGUAGAAGAGCUCCGGCUAACUUCGUGCCAGCAGCCGC